rnacentral:rRNA from 1 species
GACGAACGCUGGCGGCGUGCUUAACACAUGCAAGUCGAACGGAAAGGCCCUGCUUUUGUGGGGUGCUCGAGUGGCGAACGGGUGAGUAACACGUGAGUAACCUGCCCUUGACUUUGGGAUAACUUCAGGAAACUGGGGCUAAUACCGGAUAGGAGCUCCUGCUGCAUGGUGGGGGUUGGAAAGUUUCGGCGGUUGGGGAUGGACUCGCGGCUUAUCAGCUUGUUGGUGGGGUAGUGGCUUACCAAGGCUUUGACGGGUAGCCGGCCUGAGAGGGUGACCGGCGACAUUGGGACUGAGAUACGGCCCAGACGCCUACGGGAGGCAGCAGUGGGGAAUAUUGCACAAUGGGCGGAAGCCUGAUGCAGCAACGCCGCGUGCGGGAUGACGGCCUUCGGGUUGUAAACCGCUUUCGCCUGUGACGAAGCGUGAGUGACGGUAAUGGGUAAAGAAGCACCGCCUAACUACGUG